AUGUCAUCCUUAUUUUGCAAUACAUUGAUUAUGAACAUUUCGCGUGUGGCCGGGUUAAAUUCUCUUUGGGUUCCUUCCCCGGAGGGGCGGGCGGUUCACAGUCUAGGCGGGUGCACAGCGGCCCUUGGGUCCGGCGGAGGUCCCCGCGGAGCGGUCCUCCGUGCGCCAGGGGUCGCUGUGGCGCCGUCCGGCCGCGCCGGGUCGCUCUCGCGUGGCCGCCCCGCCUCGGGCCCCCGGGCCGAGUGGGCGGGCACGACUGCGCCCAGGUCGCGAGGCGCCCUUCGACCAGCAGCGCCCGGGGCGGGCGGGUAUAAAUGGAGCGGUGGCUCCGUCGGCCGCCUCUCUCCGCCCCGGGUUGCCGCAGCCUCCGCCGCUUUCGGGCCCAGCAGCCUGAAGAAAAAAAGAGAAAAAGAUAAAAAAAACCCGAAAACGUUUGAAAAUCUAAAAAAAAAAAUCAAAGGAAAAGAAAGAGAGAAAGAAAAUCAAAUCCUCCUCGGAGAACCCGCGGGGAAGUCACUUUCGCACGCUUCCGGCCUGCCCGUGCCCGCCGCCGCCGCACCUGGGCGUCCGUCGGUCCGGCCCGUCGGUCCGGUGGUGAGCCGCCCGCGUCCACGCGCCUCCGCUCCGGCCGCCGUCCGCCCGCGCCGCGUGGCAGCCCCGCGCCCGCCGCCCGCGCCCCCCGCGCGCCGGCCGCCCGCACCACGUGUCCGCGCUGCCCUUCGCCGCCCGGCGCGGAGGCGGCUGCGCGCUCGGCCCGCCGGGCUUGCCGAGUCGGCACCGACCAAUAUUUGGUUUCCCUCUUCCCUGGCCGCUGUAAUCUUAAACCGCCAGCAGCCCGGGGCCUAUAUUUAUCGUGCAACGCGUGUCCCGGAGGCCGCCGUGGGCACCAUUUGGUUGCCUCUUGGAGAAUUUUUAUCGUUUGGAGGGGCAGUCCCCAUUUUAAUUUGUUUUUCUUUUUGGAAAUUGGGAGCUUCCGAUCGGGACCGCCGAAAUCUACAAACUCCCCGGGAGGGCCAUAUUGUUUUUGCGAGCCUUUUGUCUGUGGCUUUGCAGUCUCGUGCGAGCCGUCCCCGAACUCCUCUUGGCGGUCCUCCGUCGCUCUGA
rnacentral:lncRNA from 1 species